GAAUAUUGGAAGCCUUCAUCGUCGGGUAAAAUUGGAGAUUUCUUUGAUUCUUCUGGUACGUCAACUGCGGCAGAGAAACGUUUAUCAGAUGAAGAACCCGCUUCUAACAUUGAAAUUAUUGAUGAACAGAUACCAACCAUUCAAUCAAGCAUUUUGAUGGUACCAAUGCUUUCAACUGAAUCAUCAUGUUCAGAGCUGAAAGAUCAAACACUUCCAAACAAUGAUAAUCAAUUUGACGACAAGAAACAACGCAUUAAUGUAAAGUUACAAGAUCGAAAUGUCAAACAAAAUUCUAAUCCAAAUGCUUCGCCAA
rnacentral:lncRNA from 1 species